AAGAGCAGCGUACGAUAACAAUCUCUGUAUAAGCUCGACACGAUGUGAGAUUAUGGCCUGAAAAAAGUACCUACUGUAACGAGCGUCGGCUACAAAAUGUUACACCUGCGACUCGAGCAGAGAUGGACUGUGUUGGACAAAGCCCACACGUACUUACGUCGUCGAAUGCAAGUCAAGGCCGUCAAAGGGGCACUCGACAGUGAACUCUACCCUGCUAGCGGCCGUCGCAGAGCGAAUCGGAUCGCGACACGAUGUGGCCCUCGAAUCUUCCGACGACUGCGAUUGCAUAUCGAUAUUUGGAA